AGAGAGCGAGAGAACCGCCAUCGAAUACCGCUGCCGCCGCCGUCGUCGUCGUUAUUGUCAUCCGUAGUAGUCGUAAUCGCGGUCGCUGUUGUUACCGUCUCCGUCGUCGUCUUCGCGUUCAUCGUUGCCGUCGAGGCGGUGCGUCGCCGUCGCGCGCUCGAUGCCGAAGCGGCGACAUCUGUUCCCGCGCGUUCCCUCCGCCACGCACCUGAUCGCGGAUUACCCCGGAAAUCAGCGAUCCACCGAGGAAACCCGCCCCCUGCGGCGUGCGUAAAAGGGACGAGCGGAACGCGUGAACGCGCGCGGCCGAGAGGAAUCGAAGGGGCGCGCGGCUCACGAUGAUUCUGCGCGGCCUGGGACUGUUUACGUAUGAGUGCGAGUGAGACAGCCGAACAGACAGAGUGAAAACGCGCUCAGGUGGUACACGCAUACACACACGCGUGCAACGCGCGUGCGUGUCGGACCGCCGUCAUCGGUGAGAGAACGACAGGAUUGUUUGAAGGAAAAAAAAGGGCAGCGGAAGAAUCGCCGAGUUGUGUGAUGUUGGGCCCCGCGGCACCGCCGGGUUCCUCGUGGUGAUCAAGUGCUUCGCUACGUAUACAGUGCGUUUGCGAGGGGAAGAGAAGGAGGAAGAAAGAGAGAGAAAGAGAGAGAGAGAGAGAGAGAGGAACGAGCGCGCCGGAACCGACGGUCGCGAGUGUGUAGCGCGAUCGGAGUCACGAGGCGACCCGGAAUAACGAUAUAAUAGCAAGCCCGGCGGGCUGUAUGUGAGUGUGUAUUCGCCGCUCGGAACACGAGGAACGUGUCGAGAACAGGGGGUCCCGAGUGACGUCGGGGGGGCGCGUGCAGACCUGACUUUGCCCCCCCACCCCUGCGCCUAUAAUCGGCACCCUUCAAGGCUCGCCGAGGAGAGGAUAGCUCGCCGAUUUCGCGGUGUGGUCUAGGCCUGGGAGAGGCUCAAGGAAGUAACCACCUCCGCCACAAUCGCCGGACAGCGCGGAAGAGGAGGAGG